AAUAGAUUUACUAACUCAUGGGCGGUUCAGUACUCACCCUACCUUUUCUUCGAAAGGGGGUGAUGCUGCAUGACGGUAUUUGAAACGUUAACCAUCAUGAUUAAUUUUUCUGUGUUGAUCGUUGCAGUACUUGCCGUUAACAACACAAAAAAAUAAUCCGCCUAUGAGUUUGAGACCUCGGCGGAUUAUUAUGUCGAUGUACUGACCCCCUUGAAGGGAGUAAGUCUAUUAUGCUGUUAGUGUUGGCGCACUAGCA
rnacentral:sRNA from 1 species